AGUUGGUCAACUCUUACUCGAAGAGAAUUCCUACUCCGAUUUACGCAGCGAAGUCGCGGGGAAAAUCUAAGUUCAAACUCACACGAGUAUUCUCAGCGGGGUGAGACAGCGUUUCCACGUUCUGAGACUCUCAGUUCAGACUAAUCCGAAGGGCUGUGGUCUAGCGCCCUUUUAUACCUAAAUGAGGCCCUUUGCCGGGGUGGGGAUGACCAUAUUUGGGCAUUUUCUAGAAGGGUCCACGCUAGACUCGCCCCGUGAGUCACCCACGCAAGGGAUGCGUACGUGACCGGCAGCGAAAGAUCUGGAAACGCGCAGGGCCGUAUACAUAUACAGGGCUGUAUACGUAACAGAGACAAUCAAAGAUUGACAGAUCCAUUCUUGAACGCAAUUAAGAAUUCUUAUUAAUUAAAAAUGUGUGCUAAAAGGGGAAAUAGAACGGAAAAUUAACUUAGAACUGACUGUAGAUAACACUUGACUAAAUGACAUAGUCGACAACAUGUUUCUAAUGCGGGAAUCGUGUUUGUAUUCUCACGAUUGAUGUAUCUUGGAAUACGUAUUGAUAGGACCACCAGUAGGACUACCUAUAGGUCAGGUCGAUCUGAACUCUGGAAUUUCCGUUCAUUCAGAUCAAUUCAUGUUCGAGUAAUAGAAUCUCAGCUCCGAGUAAUUGAAUUCGCUAUCCUUAUACAUAAUAAAUGUUAAAUACAAUUUCAAGAAAUAAAAUAGAAUAUAAUAAAAUUCUGAUGGCAAAAUAGAUUUACUCUCGGGACUUCGAUUUCCUCCAUUAACGGUACCAACCAAUAAUUGAAUUGCAUUUAUUCAUCGAAAAAGCAACCAAACGAGAAUAAAGUUUCGAUUGCAUUCGUUCAAUUGUUUCCGGAAUUCAUUCCACUGCUAAUUCAGUUUCGUGUCAACGCUUCAAGACCUUCGUAAAAGGGAGACAAGUAUACAUAUAAAAUGAAAAAAAUCGUUCUGGGUCUCCUCGUUAAACGAAAGCAGCAGCUGAAAAUAAAACUCGGUCGAGGAAAAACAUCGCCAGCGUACACGCCUUAAAAUCGUAAUACAAAACGAGUUUAAAAAAAAGAAUUACCACCAGUAGCUCUAAAAAAUGAAAGAAAAGAGGGACAAGAAACGGGCAAUGGUACAGCAAGAUUUACUAUCUAAAAAUAUGCUUUCUCUACAUUUCCUGAAAAAUAUGACGAAAAUGUAUACAGACUCUAGCUCAUUUCAUUUGUUUACUGUUUAUCUUUACCACUUACCUGAAUAUUUCUGUUCUAAAUGUUCACCGUUUCCUGGCGGUAAAAUCAUGAAGAUUGUAUUGCUCGUCAACCUUGUUAAGGAAAGAUCAUUGAAA